UACAGAGGGUGCGAGCGUUAAUCGGAAUUACUGGGCGUAAAGCGUGCGUAGACGGUAGCGUAAGUCAGAUGUGAAAGCCCCGGGCUCAACCUGGGAACUGCAUUUGAGACUGCUCUGCUCGGGUGCGGAAGAGGGAAGCGGAAUUUCCGGUGUAGCGGUGAAAUGCGUAGAUAUCGGAAGGAACACCAGUGGCGAAAGCGGCUUCCUGGUCCGACACCGACGGUCAGGCACGAAAGCGUGGGGAGCAAAAGGG
rnacentral:rRNA from 1 species